GUCCUGGCCCUAAACGGUGUUCACUUGGUGUGCGGGGAGUCGACCCCCUGCGUGCCGAAGCUAACGCGAUAAGUGAACCGCCUGGGAAGUACGACCGCAAGGUUAAAACUCAAAGAAAUUGACGGGGGCCCGCACAAGCGGUGGAGCAUGUGGCUUAAUUCGAUGCAACGCGAAGAACCUUACCUGGCCUUGACAUGCUGGUAGUAGAAGCCAGAAACGGCGACGAUCCCGCGUAAGCGGGAAGCCAGCACAGGUGCUGCAUGGUUGUCGU
rnacentral:rRNA from 1 species